rnacentral:misc_RNA from 1 species
GCGGAAGAAACAAAAAAAGGUCCAGGAACCAAAAGUGCAAAGCAGAUGGGAAGAUCAGUUGGGCAGUAGCGUAACAUUGUGGGAAGACUACUGGAAGAAGGAUCGGUUGGAAAAAAAACACUCAAAAACAGCUCCACGUAUUGGCUCGUGGGAUUGGCGGCGAAGCUUGAAGUGGCGCGUGUGAUCACAAUGGCGCCGGACAGCAGAAAAAAUUCUGGGGAGAGGCCGAUCGGCAACUUUUCUUCGCUCUCGGACUGGCAUUGUAGACUAACUCCCUCUGAGUUGUUGUCUAGAGGCUUAACCCUAGCAACCCUAACUCUGUUUGCAAGUAACCUCACGCCAAAAAUGAAUGGCAGGGCUCUGUUACCAUGUUGAAAUAAUUAUUUUUGGGAGACAAAUUAUUUAUUUCACUAUAUUCAAUCUGUAUACAUAGGUUGUAUUUAUAUACAAAAGAAUUAUCCUAAAGAAGGUAUCCUAAAUAUACAAGGAAAGGGAAUCCCAUAUAGAAAGGAAGACUAACAUAAAUAGGAAAG